rnacentral:rRNA from 1 species
AGUGAACGCUGGCGGUAGGCCUAACACAUGCAAGUCGAACGGCAGCACAGUAAGAGCUUGCUCUUACGGGUGGCGAGUGGCGGACGGGUGAGGAAUACAUCGGAAUCUACUUUUUCGUGGGGGAUAACGUAGGGAAACUUACGCUAAUACCGCAUACGACCUACGGAUGAAAGCAGGGGAUCUUCGGACCCUGCGCGAUUGAAUGAGCCGAUGUCGGAUUAGCUAGUUGGCGGGGUAAAGGCCCACCAAGGCGACGAUCCGUAGCUGGUCUGAGAGGAUGAUCAGCCACACUGGAACUGAGACACGGUCCAGACUCCUACGGGAGGCAGCAGUGGGGAAUAUUGGACAAUGGGCGCAAGCCUGAUCCAGCCAUACCGCGUGGGUGAAGAAGGCCUUCGGGUUGUAAAGCCCUUUUGUUGGGAAAGAAAAGCAGCAGGUUAAUACCCCGCUGUUCUGACGGUACCCAAAGAAUAAGCACCGGCUAACUUCGUG